rnacentral:rRNA from 1 species
CUACGGGGUGCAGCAGUGGGGAAUAUUGCACAAUGGGCGCAAGCCUGAUGCAGCCAUGCCGCGUGUAUGAAGAAGGCCUUCGGGUUGUAAAGUACUUUCAGCGGGGAGGAAGGGAGUAAAGUUAAUACCUUUGCUCAUUGACGUUACCCGCAGAAGAAGCACCGGCAAACUCCGUGCCAGCAGCCGCGGUAAUACGGAGGGUGCAAGCGCUAAUCGGAAUUACUGGGCGUAAAGCGCACGCAGGCGGUUUGUUAAGUCAGAUGUGAAAUCCCCGGGCUCAACCUGGGAACUGCAUCUGAUACUGGCAAGCUUGAGUCUCGUAGAGGGGGGUAGAAUUCCAGGUGUAGCGGUGAAAUGCGUAGAGAUCUGGAGGAAUACCGGUGGCGAAGGCGGCCCCCUGGACGAAGACUGACGCUCAGGUGCGAAAGCGUGGGGAGCAAACAGGAUUAGAUACCCGCGUAGUC